rnacentral:rRNA from 1 species
ACGCUCGACACCUACGGGAGACAGCAGUGAGGAAUAUUGGUCAAUGGGCGCAGGCCUGAACCAGCCAAGUAGCGUGAAGGAUGACUGCCCCUAUGGGUUGUAAACUUCUUUUAUAUGGGAAUAAAGUUUUCCACGUGUGGAAUUUUGUAUGUACCAUAUGAAUAAGGAUCGGCUAACUCCGUGGCCGGCAGCCGCGGUAAUCUGAGCGGGCUGGCAAGGC